rnacentral:rRNA from 1 species
UACGGAGGGUGCAAGCGUUAUCCGGAAUUACUGGGUUUAAAGGGUGCGUAGGCGGCUUUGUAAGUCAGGGGUGAAAGCCCGCAGCUUAACUGCGGAAUUGCCUUUGAUACUGCAAAGCUUGAAAGGGGUUGAGGUCAGCAGAACGUGGCAUGUAGCGGUGAAAUGCAUAGAUAUGACACAGAACACCGAUUGCGAAGGCAGCUGGCUGGGCCUACUUUGACGCUGAGGCACGAAAGCGUGGGGAGCGAACAGG